UCUCCAUUAAUUCUCCUUCAUUUCCUCUUAACUUUGUAUUUGUAUUUGUAUAUAUUUAUAUUUAUAUAAUUAAAAAAGAGGUCUUCGAUUUCGUUGUGGUUUUUUUCCCCGAUCCCUAUGACAAUUCGGUAAUUCCUGCUUGUGUGUUUUGCUUUUUUUAUCUCAUCAACUACCAAAAAUAGGGAAUAUUGCCUUACUCAAUCCCUGCACAAAAACGCAGAGAGUAUGAUCAAUAUUCUGCACUUUAAAUUGAAAUUAAUUUAUUGAUAUAUCCUUACUUUUCUUCUAGUUGAUACAUAAAUGGCUUCAAUUUCUUCUAGUCCUUGUACAGCAGAAGAUAUUUUUAAAGAUUAUAGCGGUCGUUAUGGCGGGAUAGUUCGUGCUUUAAUUCAUGUGCACAUUUGCUUCUAUUCUUUGAGGUGGAUUUUUCCAAUUCAGUUGAUAAUUCCAGGGAUAUUUCUAAAAGGUGUCAAUUUGGCUAUGUUGUUCCUAUAGUAAUUGAUGUUUCAGUUCAACGAUACACUAAGUUAGUCCGAUUGUACUCAACAAUUCAUAAAAUGCCAGGUCAUACUCACAAAUGCAACAACAAUGCCAUUUGAAUUCAGAUUCGAUAACCCAUUUGGUGUAUCUCCCAAGAUUCUGGACCCUAUAUGUCAUCCUAUUCGUUGUUGUGUGUCUGUGCAUGAUGUGUGUUGGCCUUCUGCUGGGACUGGGAGGGUAAACAAGGGAUCAAAUUUAGAUAUUAUCAUGAUGCUAAUAUUGCUGACAAGAUAGAGAACCAGGAUCAGUCAAAUAAGAGGUGUAUUCACCUGAUUACAUUAAGUAAUCCUUUAAUAGUGAAAAACUGUUUACCAGUUGAAGUAUCUGUCAUGAUUGAGGGUGGUGGAGUUUCACAUAGCAUGCUGCUUUCAGAGGUUGGUAUCUCUAUCUUCCACAUUUUCUUUAUGUCCUUAUAAUUUAUUUCAUCAUGAGUUAUACUUUUCUAACAUCUGCAGGUUGAAACUUCUUUUUAUCAUAUUGAUUCUUCUCAUGAUCUUUCGUUAACUUUUGAUAUACGCGGGUUUAGAGC